rnacentral:rRNA from 1 species
AAUAGAUACCCAGGUAGUCCACGCCGUAAACGAUGAGUGCUAAGUGUUAGAGGGUUUCCGCCCUUUAGUGCUGAAGUUAACGCAUUAAGCACUCCGCCUGGGGAGUACGGCCGCAAGGCUGAAACUCAAAGGAAUUGACGGGGGCCCGCACAAGCGGUGGAGCAUGUGGUUUAAUUCGAAGCAACGCGAAGAACCUUACCAGGUCUUGACAUCCUCUGACAACCCUAGAGAUAGGGCUUCUCCUUCGGGAGCAGAGUGACAGGUGGUGCAUGGUUGUCGUCAGCUCGUGUCGUGAGAUGUUGGGUUAAGUCCCGCAACGAGCGCAACCCUUGAUCUUAGUUGCCAUCAUUCAGUUGGGCACUCUAAGGUGACUGCCGGUGACAAACCGGAGGAAGGUGGGGAUGACGUCAAAUCAUCAUGCCCCUUAUGACCUGGGCUACACACGUGCUACAAUGGACGGUACAAAGAGCUGCAAGACCGCGAGGUGGAGCUAAUCUCAUAAAACCGUUCUCAGUUCGGAUUGU